UCUAAGGAUGAGUGAAAGUAAAAUUUCACUCUAAAUAAUAUACAUCGGUAAUGUUGACCGUCCUCAUUUCUCUUCUUAAAGUAAUGUUUCCUUCUUGUAGGGCCGGUAGCUCAGUUGGUUAGAGCACACCCUUGAUAAGGGUGGGGUCGAAAGUUCGAGUCUUUCUCGGCCCACCAAAAACCUAAAUGGGGGAUUAGCUCAUCUGGGAGAGCGCCUGAUUUGCAUUCAGGAGGUAGCAGGUUCGAUCCCUGUAUCCUCCACCAGGAAACAUUUAGUUAUUAAAACUGUAAAUAAAAAUAAUUUAUAUCAAUAUCUAUAUCCGAACAUUAAAAGUUAUUAUUUAAUGUUCAAAAUAAAAAUUUGAUCGUGACAUAGAUCUAUUUUCUGUUCAAAGAAUCGAUGUCUGUGCAUAACU
rnacentral:tRNA from 1 species